AGGAUGGUAGUUAAGUAUAACAUUUGAUUUGCACUCAAAAAGUAUUGAAAUUCAUUCAAUCCAUCUU
rnacentral:tRNA from 1 species